AUUGAACGCUGGCGGCAGGCCUAACCCAUGCAAGUCGAGCGAGCGGAGGACGGGUGAGUAAUGUCUGGUAAACUUCCUGAUGGAGGGGGAUAACUACUGGAACCGGUAGCUAAUACAGCAUUCCAUCAGAUGUGCCCAGAUGGGAUUAGCUCGUAGUUGGGGUAACGGCUCACAAAGGCGACGAUCCCUAGCUGGUCUGAGAGGAUGACCAGCCACACUGGAACUGAGACACGGUCCAGACUCCUACGGGAGUCAGCAGUGGGGAAUAUUGCACAAUGGGCGCAAGCCUGAUGCAGCCAUGCCGCGUGUGUGAAGAAGGCGUUCGGGUUGUAAAGCACUUUCAGCGGGGAGGCGUUACCCGCAGAAGAAGCACCGGCUAACUCCGUGCCAGCAGCCGCGGUAAUUC
rnacentral:rRNA from 1 species